CCUCAAGGUACGGAACAACUCAGGGAAACUUGGGCUAAUACCGUAUGAUGCAGGGAUGCCAAAGAUUUAUCGCCUUGGGAUAAGCCCGCGUCAGAUUAGGUAGUUGGUGGGGUAAUGGCUCACCAAGCCUGUGAUCUGUAGCUGGUCUGAGAGGACGAUCAGCCACAUUGGGACUGAGACACGGCCCAAACUCCUACGGGAGGCAGCAGUGGGGAAUCUUGCGCAAUGGACGAAAGUCUGACGCAGCCAUGCCGCGUGAAUGAUGAAGGUCUUAGGAUUGUAAAGUUCCUUAGCCUGUGACGAUGAUGACGGUAACAGGAGAAUAAGCCCCGGCUAACUUCGUGCCAGCAGCCGCGGUAAUACGAAGGGGGCUAGCGUUGUUCGGAAUUACUGGGCGUAAAGCGCGCGUAGGCGGUUUUGCAAGCCAGAGGUGAAAUGCCUGAGCUCAACUUGGGAAUUGCCUUUGGGACUGUGAGACUUUGAGGACGAGAGAGGUGAGUGGAAUUCCCAGUGUAGAGGUGAAAUUCGUAGAUAUUGGGAAGAACACCGGUGGCGAAGGCGGCUCACUGGCUCGUUUCUGACGCUGUAGCGCGAAAGCGUGGGGAUCAAACAGGAUUAGAUACCCUGGUAGUCCACGCUGUAAACGAUGAGUGCUAGGCGUUGGCACGCUUGCGUGUCAGUGCCGCAGCUAACGCGUGAAGCA
rnacentral:rRNA from 1 species